rnacentral:rRNA from 1 species
UACAGAGGUCUCGAGCGUUAAUCGGAGUCACUGGGCUUAAAGGGUGCGUAGGCCGCCUCGCAAGUGCUUUGUGAAAUCCCACGGCUCAACCGUGGAAUGGCUUGGCAGACUGCGGGGCUUGAGGUCGGUAGGGGCAGCCGGAACUCUAGGUGGAGCGGUGAAAUGCGUAGAUAUCUAGAGGAACGCCAAAGGUGAAGACAGGCUGCUGGGCCGAUACUGACGCUGAGGCACGAAAGCGUGGGGAGCGAACGGG